rnacentral:lncRNA from 1 species
UUUAAACAGAGUUUGAGUGCUCGGUAGGAGGAGGAAGCUGUGAAGUGGGUGUCGCUCCUUGUUCAUCAACCUCGAGUUGAUCUAAAUUACUCAGUCGUAGUGAUGGAAGACACCACCUUUCCCGCCGGGAUCACCGACAUGGAGGUUGGCGGAGUCGUCUUCGGCGCGUCCGCGACGCCUCCACACUCAUCAAAGAUCCUCUUCCUCGGUGGUGCCGGUGCGUGCCUGAGCUCUGUUUCCUAGCAUGGGCAGUGUCCGGUAAAUAGAUCUGGAGCUUAGAGUCCACCGCUGACUGCUCGACGUUUCUUCCACCUGUCUCAAGCCCUCCCGUUUCCACCCACGCCGUCGAUCACCCGCUGGUCACCACCGGCGACAUGGAUCCCCUCCGCCUACUCCUCCCCCGCGCCCAGGCCCAGCCCUUGCUUCCGCUCCCCGAUGGCGUCCCAGCGCCGAGCGUUAGGCCCCGCCUCGUCCCGCGGCGACGGGCGCGCCGCCACCGCAACGGGGCCGCGCGGAUGCUGCCGGCGUCGGCCGUGGCGUCCGAGUCGCCGUGGACGGAGCAGGAGCCGGCAUCCGGGGAGAAGGAGGAGCGGUUCAACUGGCUGGACCAGUGGUACCCCUUCGCCCCCGUGGAGGACCUGGACCCCGGCGCGCCGCGCGGCAAGAUGGUGCUGGGGAUCCGUGUGGUGGCCUGGUACGACCGCGGCGCCGGCGAGUGGCGCGUGUUCGACGACGCGUGCCCGCACCGCCUGGCGCCGCUCUCGGAGGGCCGCAUCGACGACAAGGGCCGGCUCCAGUGCGUGUACCACGAGUGGUGCUUCGACGGCCGCGGCGCCUGCAAGUUCAUCCCCCAGGCCCCCGCGCUCGGCCCGCCAGUGCACACCAACAGGAAGGCAUGCGUUGCGUCCUACCCGUGCGUGGUGCAGAACAGAUCCUGUGGUUCUACCCGCGCGCCGGGCCGGAGCACAGGGACGUGCUUCAGAGGAAGCCGCCGCCGUUCAUCCCGGAGAUCGACGACCCCGCCUUCGUCACCUCCUUCCUAGUCAGGGACAUGCCCUACGGGUAAGUCUACCGCGCGCAGCUCCAUCGUGUUCCUUUACCGAGAGGUUGUCUUUCCUUCUCCUUACCGAGAGAGGGGGUAGGCCAUGGUCAACAACUACUUCUUCUCAUGUUUUUUCAUUACACUCUUUAAAGUUCUCUAUCGAUGCCGUUCUAGGAAGUUGACCGGCACCGAGAGAGGGGGUAGGCCACGGUCAACAACUGCUUCUUCUCAUAUUUUUUACUUUACACUCUUUAAAGUUCUCUCUCGGUGUCGGUCUAGGAAGUUGACCGGCACCGAAAGAGGGGGUAGGCCACGGUGAACAACUGCUUCUUCUCAUGGUUUUUACUUUACACUCUUUAAAGUUGAGUUUUGAACAAAUCUAACCCAAAAAGCAUAUAUAUAUAUAUAUAUAUAUAUAUAUAUAGGACUCCUCUUUUAUACUUCCAGGAGUACAUACUCCCAUCCCUUAACGAAGCCUUUCACUCGGAUAUCCUCAACAAAAAACGACUAAUCCACAGAAAAAGCCGAAACAUGUAACAACUUUCCUUUGAGUGUGGCGCCUAGUUGCUUGAUCCUAGAAUUAAGGGAUCUUUUAUGCCAGGGUGUCGUUCCUAUAACCUUCAUGGGAAGUAAUACACGCACGUCAGGUAUGUUGUAUUUUUAUACGUGAGGUAUAUUUUAACUUUGUGAGCUUUCAUGUAUUAAUUUGUGCAGUUCAUAUAUACUACUUUUAUACGAUAGUAUAUACCAUAUUUUUGUGAUAGCGAUUUUUUGUGGACCAGUAUAUACCUUUUUUUAUAAAGUUGUCACAUUUUUCAGUGAAGUAUAUACUGCAAUUUGUUUUUAUGAUGGAGUAUAUAUAUACCUUUUUUUAUGUCGGACUAUAUACCAUGUUUUUUGGAUGGACCAUGUGCAACAUCUUUGUCAAUAAAUUCUGGACCACUUUUUUUUUGCGAUGGACUAUAUACCACUUUUUUUGUGGUGGAGUAUAUACCACAAUUUUUCUGAAGGAGUAUAUAUCAUUUUUUUGCAUGCAGUAUGUACCACAUUUUUUUUUCUUGAAAGGAGUAUAUAUCAUUUUUUCUGCAUGAAGAAUAUACCACUUUUUUGACCGAGUAUAUAUUACUCUAAAAAACAAUAUAUAUGUCAAGAAAAGAGUAUAAUUAACUACUAAAUAUACCUAAACCAUAGUAGUACAAGACCAAUUAAAACAUAUUACAGAAUAUAAUUCAUUUCAAAUAGUAGUAUUUGUCCACUCCAAAAAAUAACAAGAUUUGACUUGUGUUAUGGUAUCACGGAAAGAGCAUCGAUUUUACUCUAGCUUCUUAUUCGAAAAAAAAAAACAGCUUCUUCUGUAUGCACGCGUCCUCCAUGAUGGAUCGAUCAUUCGCCGCAAGUUCGUCGUUGGAGGAUUGUUAGAUCACUUCGGUGUAGCAGCAACAUGAAGGAAAAGGUAGUAUGCAGAGUAGACGAACACCGGCUGGCGGAACACAGCUCUCGUACUCCAGUAUAGAAGGAGUACAAGAUAAGUUGAAGCUUCGUCAUAAUCGGCGUCAUCUACACGAUGAUUGGACAGAGUACAAGUUAUUUACUCCAGUAUAGAAGGCAUGCAAGUAACGGAUGCAUCUAGCUUGAUAGACAGUACGUGGCUCUAAUGGUUGUAUGUAUAGAAUAGGUUACUCUUCGAUUUAAGAUUGUGAUCUCACCGACCGAGUAUAAUGCGGACGCACACCGGAGUAGCCGCCCGCACUGAACGACGACGAGACAAUCGCAGCUGCAAUUAGACGAGAAAGGGUGGUCGUUGUUGUCUCGUUGCUGCUACCGAUGCCAUGCAUCUCGUCGUUGUGAUCGGCGCCGCCGCCGUCCGCUGUGUUACGUACGCAAGGACAUCAUGGCCAUCUGAGUUUUGGCCGAUUUUGGCUGGAGUGGCCGGUGGAAAGCAUUGAAUACCCGAGACCUGCUGCACAGGAACAGGAGCGUCGUCUUCUUCCAUGCUGAUGCAUGCACCAUGGAUAGCGGAUGAGACACAAUCACCGUCGACGGCGACGAAACUACAGGAAAUAGGUCGCUGGUGGCACAAGAGACGCAACCGUCUAUGUGGCGAGAAUAUUAGAUCGAUGGAGAUUCGUUUCUAGGGUGACGUUUGAUAUUCCUAUAAAGAAGGAUUCUGUUCCAACAAAUUUAAUUAUCAAAUAAUUAUCUCAUCUAGUUUUAUUUGCUGGGUUUAAAACGUGGCUAGUCCGAUAGGUACGGCCAGCUAUUCGAAGCGAUGGGUCUCUUCGGAGGUGGAUUGAGAGUAUGUACUCCUAGGAGUAUCAUCCAAUUUUCCUAUAUAUAUAUAUAUAUAUAUAUAUAUAUAUAUAUAUAUAUAUAUAUAUACGGAAAUGUUAACGCCAACACGUGUGGGCAUUAGCCAACUCACCCACACGUUUCCAUCACCGUCCAGCAACUUCUGCACGAAUCUUGGCACGAAUUAGCUGAUUUGUAUGCCACGUAGGACAACUUGCGUGUGUGGUGUGUGAGAAAGGUCGCCCACACAUCCGUUUUAUCACACGGAGGGGCCGGUGUGUGGGCGUUCAGCAGUUCGCGCCACACGCCACUUUGCACGCACACACAAGGGCUAGUGUGUGGGCAUUUGCCAUCUCGCCCACACGCCCGUCUCCUCUCCCACACCCAAGCUGCUAGUUGCCAUGUGUUUUCGCAGCGCACAUGGCAACUGCCCCUAGUGUGCUUUAUAAGCAGGUGGCAACUCUCUUUUUUUACCCGAGUGCCAUGUGUUUUUGCAGGGUACACGGCCACUGCCUAGUGUGCACGUAAGCAGAUGGCAACUCUCUUUUACCGAGUUGCCAUGUGUUUUUGCAUGGUACAUGGCAACUGCCCCAACGUGCACGUACAUGGCAACUGCCCUAACGUGCACGUAAGCAGAUGGCAACUCUUCCUUUUUACAUGGCAACUGCCCUAGCAUGCUUGUGAGCACAUGGCAACUCUCUCAACUGCCUAGUGUUAGUAUGUGGCAACUCCUAAAGUUAUGAAAUCAUGGCAACUACAUUAGAUCAGACCAUACAUGGCAACUGCAGUUGAGCAACCAUGGCAACUGCAGUUGUCCGACAUGGCAACCGUAGUUCAGCGACAUGGCAACUGCAGUUAAACGAACAUGGACGAGGGUCUGGACCAUGGCAACUGCGGGCGCGCGAUGGGCGUCACGCGUGGCGUGCGGGACCAGGAGGGUACGAGGCCUGACAUACGGGCGUGUGGGCGUUAUCAACUUCGCCCACACGCACGCGUGUGAGAGGGUUCAGGAGGAAAAAAAAGGUGUGUGGGCAUUAAUUGUUUUGCCCACACGUAGGUGUGUGGGCUGGUUGCUGUCCAUGUCACACGAGGCGUGUGGCACAACUACCCGAUACACCACACGUGUGGCAGUUAUCAGGGCCCUAUAUAUAUAUAGGACAACACUAUUCUAAUCCUAGGAUUAAAAUAACUAUUUGGAUCACGGAGAGCUUAUAUAUGGAGUGACGGGAUCCUUCCAAACUCCCGAAUCGGUAAAAAAGGAAAAAGAUCUUCACGCACCCCACCAUCCCCACGAUCCCCUCCCCGAUCCCAUCUGCCCUCUGCUACGAACCGCACCACACCGACACCACCGCCUCCCUCCCUGACCGACGCAGCCACCGCCGCCUCCCUCCUUGGCCGGCGCGGCCCCCGCCUCCCUCCGCCCGCGCAGCCACCGCUGCCUCCCUCCCCGGCCCGCGCAACCACCGCCGCCUCCUUCCCCAGCCCGCGCAGCCGCCACACCCCCGCNNNNNNNNNNNNNNNNNNNNNNNNNNNNNNNNNNNNNNNNNNNNNNNNNNNNNNNNNNNNNNNNNNNNNNNNNNNNNNNNNNNNNNNNNNNNNNNNNNNNNNNNNNNNNNNNNNNNNNNNNNNNNNNNNNNNNNNNNNNNNNNNNNNNNNNNNNNNNNNNNNNNNNNNNNNNNNNNNNNNNNNNNNNNNNNNNNNNNNNNNNNNNNNNNCCCCGCUUCCUCCCGCAGCCGAGCCACCUCCCCGGAUCCCCGAUCCCCACGCCGGCGCACGCCCUCCCCGGAGAACCCCGCCGCCGCGCCCUCAUCCUCACCUCCAAGCGCCGCCAUCCCUUCGCCGUGCAGCGGACCUAGCCACCACGCGGAUCACGCCGCCCCCACAAACCUCAUCGCCGAUCCAGUCGAGGGGGCGGCUGGAUCCAGCCGGCCACGACCCCCGGCAAGGCAUGGGAAGCGGCGUGCACGGGGCGGCCUCCUGCUCCCCCCUUGCACCAGCUCCGGUUAUCUUCCCCACGCUCGGCAUAUCACGACACCGGUUCUUGGACUUUCAACUGCAGUGCAGCUUCCUUCCUCGAGUACAGGUUGUCGGUUCGCCGCAAGCUGGCCAUAUGGUCGCCAUCGCUCGUGUGUUACCUGUUGUCGCUUCUCUCAGCGACCUUCCUCGGCAAAUUUCAUUGAACUUCCCCAUGAUCAUGGUUCCAAAAAUAUAUGGAAGUUCAAAAAGUAUUGGUUGGGAAGCAUGCACACAGUCUUGCCUCUCCUCUGUCUUGUGCUCCAGGAGAACAGGCUAGGACGCAAUAAAACAUCGAUGGUGAAUUUAUGCCGAGAGAAGGUUCUGAUUACGUGCUCUAUAUAUGCUUGUUGAUAUGCCAAAUGAGAACCGGUACUGUUUUUCUUCAAGUUGUUUUGCUGAUGUUUGAGAGUUAAUAUUGUAGAUGUUCAAUGGAUAUGAGACUUGUUUUGACCUUGCACUCUUAAAAAAGACCACCCUACAUUAAAAAAAGAGCACCCAAAAACUUUCCUACGUGUAGAUGCAUCCGCGCUCACAUCUUCGACCUCCUUCCUGUAUAUUAUGUACUUAAAUGUGCUUAAUGAAAAAUAAGUUCCUGAGAAGUUCAUAUAUUAUUAUGUGGAUAGGUCAUGUAGAAGAACUACCCAGUAAUUGAAAAUUUUAAAGACAACAAAUUUCUAUAGUGAUUUGUACGUGUCCAGUUGUGUUCUAUUGUUUCGGCAAUUCUUCCUUAUGUAAAUGGCUCUACGCUGAGCACUUCUAACCUGUCGUGGAGAAGUUUUGUAUUAAUUAAUUAUGAUCUUUUACAAAUGGAAUUGUUUUUCCAUUUUGCAAAAAAACCAGAGAAGUUCAAAUUAAAUUAAUAGAGCGGUUUGAUGUUCAUAAAAAAAGAAAAAAUCUCAUUUAUAAAACAAUAAAAACACGAAUAAACCAAGAAGUUAAGUUCUAAUAAACCAAUGUUGAAAGAAAACAAAAAGAAAGGAGAAGUUCAAUUUCUAAAGAUGACGUGGUUCGACGUGCUAAAAAAUGCUGAAAGAAAACAAAAAGAAAAGCAGAAGUUCAAUUUCUAAAGAUGACGCGGUUUGAUGUGCAAACCGAUGCAAAAACAAGCAUAAAAAUGUUGUUUUGGUGUCUUAAAAUAUUUUUAUUCAUAAAAAUAUUAAAGAAAUAAAACCAGGAAGUCCAUAUUAAAAAGAUGGAGAAGUUCGAUGAUUAUAAAAACCUCAAAUUUUCCUCGUUAUUAAAGAAAUGGAAACAAGAAGUUUAAAAAUAAAAUAACAAGAAGUUCAACUUUUAAAAAUAGAGCGCUUCAAAUUUCAUAAAAAAUAUUAAGAAAUAAAACCAAGAAGUACAAAUUAAAAAGAUGAAGAAGUUCGAUGAUUAUAGAAAACUCAGAUUUUCCUCGUUAUUAAAAAAUGGAAACAAGAAGUUCAAAAAUAAAAUAACAAGAAGUUCAACUAUUAAAAAUAGAGCCCUUCAAAAUUCAUCUAAAAGGAUUAAGAAAAAUAAGAUUAAAAAUUCAUAAAAAACUCAAAUAUUUUCAUGUAACCGAGAGAAGUUCAGGUUGAUAACUGCUAGAAGUUCAUGUAAUACACGGUGUGCAUUUUGUAUUAAAAAAUAAUAAAAAAGCGAAGGCAACUUUUUUUGUUGUUAUAAGUUCAAGUCCUUUGUUGGAGAAAGUUAAAAAAAUUAUUGUGAGAGAGAUUUGUACAAAAGGAAUAACAUUUGUGUAACACUGACGAAUGGAUGAGAAAAUUACAAACGAAAAUACGUCACAGAAGUUUAACGUGAAAACAACAUGAAGUUCAACUACUACGCUGAAUGAAUUUCAGAUGAAAAACUUCUAAAAUCAUCGCGAGCAUGAAAAAAUGAUCAACACGGGAAAGUUAUGUGCUUACAGCAGCUUUCCACCGGUAUAUCACUUGCUCAAUUCUGGUGAGUGGAUGGAGAGUUACGAGCAGUGGAUGGAUACCUACGAGCAGAAAAAUCACGUGAAAAAACAGAGUGAAGUUCAGGUACAUGCGCCGAGAAGUUCAGGUUCUUCACGUGAUUCAUUUUCGAAUAAUCUAUUUCGCGAUAGAGGCAGAACGAAUGAUCCCGCCGUUUUUGAAAUUACUUGAAAACGGCUACGAAUCAUAGAAAACCAUCAACAUGAAUUUUUUUUUGCAUUUCCCGUAGCUUUUCAACGGUAUAUUAUUUGCCCAAUUCCGAUAAAGUUUGUAGAAAUUACGGCGAAAAUACGUAUUUCGCCAUUUUCAAAACUGACUUAAAACCGUAAAGAAUUCGGAGAAACAAUACAUACCAAAAAGUUUUGCAUUUGUUCAAGAUUUCCAACGCCAUAUCAUUUGCUGCAUUCGGACGCACGAUUAAAAAAUUAGCUUGAAAAUACAAACUCGGUAGGACUUGGACCAUUUUCUAAAUUACUCUUAAACCAUUCAAAAUUAGAAAAAAAACUUUCAAGAUGAAAAAGUAGCGCAUUUUCAUAAGCUUUCCAACGCAAUAUCAUAUGCCUCCAUUGAAUUAGCCGUUUAGAAAUGACAUCGAAAAAACGAACUCAGCUGUUUGGUUUAAGAAAUUUUACGUUUUUUCAAAUUACUCUUUAACCAUAGGGAAUUAGAGAAAACUUUCAACAUGUGGAAGGAGCGGUUUUGCAGCAGCUUUUGAACGCCAUAUUAUAUGCCUCAUUCCGAUAAACGGUUUAGAAAUGCGAUCGAAAAUACGAUUCACAUUUUUUGUGCGAAGAGAAAACGGUUUUCAAAACUGCUCUUAAACCGCUUACAUUUUGUCAAAAAUUUAUUUUGGGUCAUGAUACUGGUGUCCAUAGCUUUUCAAUGAUAUAUCGCAAGCCCUAUUUGGGCAAUGUUCAACCUAGUUCACAGAGAAGUUCAACGUACUACUAGCGGGGCAGGUCAGGUUGUGAUCAGAAUAUUAUUCUGAUCCCGUGAUCAGAAUAGUGUUUAUGUAUAUGAGUGCAACAAAAGUUUUUUAUCGAAAAAAUUCAUCAAAAGUCAUGGAAUUUCCAAACUUUGGUUGUAAAAACAUAUGAAAUAUGAGAUACAAAAAAGUAGUGCCAAACAAAAACACAAAGAGAAGGAAAAAAAUUAGAGCAGUGGUUACCGAGGGUCGAUUAUCGGCUCUCAGUAAUGGCCACUUUUUCCGAGAGACCCUCUCGGUAAAGCAUCUAACCUAGAUCUUAACUGUUCCCCUUUCUUUCUAUCUUCAUUCUUCUCCUUCUCUGUUCCCUGCGCCGCCGCCGCCGCCACGCCGAAAUUGCCACCGUCGACCCUGUAUCCAUUCUCGAUAAAAGACUUUUGAUACACUCAUAUAUAUAUAGUGUAUCAAAAGUAUUUUAUCGAAAAAUUUCAUCAAGAGUCAUCGAAUUUUCAAACUUUGUUCGUAAAAACAUAUGAAAUAUGAGAUACAAAAAAUAUAGUGCCAAACAAAAAUACAAAGAGAAGGAAAAAAAAUAGAGCAGUGGUUACCGAGGGUAGAUUAUCGGCUCUCAGUAAUGGCCACCUUUUUCAAGACAACCUCUCGGUAAAGCAUCUAACCUAGAUCUAUUUCCUUCUUGUGCAUUCUCGAUAAUAUGUAUUAUACUUUUUUUGUUUUCUUCCAUGCUUGGCAAACAACCUUAGCACAUCAUAAUUACCGUCUUGUGUUUGCUUUUUCUGAUGGGCCUCGCCCGGUUCUAGAGACCGAAACCCCUCCGGUGGCCCUGACGGUCUAGGGCGUUGUUCGACACCUAGAGGGGGUAGGCCAUGGGGUAUAACUGUUGGAAAUAUGCCCUAGAGGCAAUAAUAAAUUAGUUAUUAUUAUAUUUCCUUGUUCAUGAUAAUCGUUUAUUAUCCAUGCUAUAAUUGUAUUGAUAGGAAACUCAAAUACAUGUGUGGGUACAUAGACAACACCAUGUCCCUAGUAAGCCUCUAGUUGACUAGCUCGUUGAUCAAUAGAUGGUUACGGUUUCCUGACCAUGGACAUUGGAUGUCGUUGAUAUCGGGAUCACAUCAUUAGGAGAAUGAUGUAAUGGACAAGACCCAAUCCUAAGCCUAGCACAAAGAUCAUGUAGUUCGUAUGCUAAAGCUUUUCUAAUGUCAAGUAUAUUUUCCUUAGACCAUUAGAUUGUGCAACUCCCGGAUACCGUAGGAAUGCUUUGGGUGUACCAAACGUCACAACGUAACUGUGUGGCUAUAAAGGUACACUACGGGUAUCUCCGAAAGUGUCUGUUGGGUUGGCACGAAUGGAGACUGGGAUUUGUCACUCUGUGUGACGGAGAGGUAUCUCUAGGCCCACUCGGUAGGACAUCAUCAUAAUGUGCACAAUGUGACCAAGGGGUUGAUCACGGGACGAUGUGUUACGGAACGAGUAAAGAGACUUGCCGGUAACAAGAUUGAACAAGGUAUCGGGAUACCUACGAUCGAAUCUCGGGCAAGUACUAUACCGCUAGACAAAGGGAAUUGAAUACGGGAUUGAUUGAAUCUUCGACAUUGUGGUUCAUCCGAUGAGAUCAUCGUGGAACAUGUGGGAGCCAACAUGGGUAUCCAGAUCUCGCUGUUGGUUAUUGGCCGGAGAGUUGUCUCGGUCAUGUCUACGUGUCUCCCGAACCCGUAGGGUCUACACACUUAAUGUUCGAUGACGCUAGGGUUACAAAGGAAGUUUGUAUGUGGUUACCGAAUGUUGUUUGGAGUCUCGGAUGCCGGACGUCACGAGGAGUUCCGGAGGUAAAGAUUUAUAUAUGGAAAGUUGGUGUUCGGGUUCCGGGAAAAGUUCGGUUUUUUCCGGUACUGUACCGGGAAGCUUCCGAAAGGUUCCGGAGGAUUCCGGAGGGGUCCGAAGGUCCGGAAAAUGUUCCACCACGUCCAAUACAGCAACAUGGGCUGUAAGGGGGCGCCCUAGCCUUAAUGGGCCAGGGGCACUAGCCUCCCCAAGGCCCAUGCGCAUGGGAGAGGGGAAACCCUAAAGGGGAGGGCCUCCACUUGACUUGGGAGGCACUCCUCCCCCCUUGGCCGCCGCCCCCAACCCUAGAUGGGAUCUAGAGGGGGCAGCCCCCCUCUCUCCCCACCUAUAAAUAGUGGAGGGGUGGGAGGGCAGCCGCACCCAAGUUCUGGCGCAGCCUUCCCCUCUCCCAAGUCCUCCUCCUCUCUCGCGGUGCUUGGCGAAGCCCUGCAGGAUUGCCACGCUCCUCCACCACCACCACACCGUCGUGCUGCUGCUAGAUGGAGUCUUCCCCAACCUCUCCCUCUCUCCUUGCUGGAUCAAGGCAUGGGAGACGUCACCGGGCUGCAUGUGUGUUGAACGCGGAGGUGCCGUCCGUUCGGCACUAGGAUCAUCGGUGAUUUGGAUCACGACGAGUACGACUCCAUCAACCCCGUUCACUUGUACGCUUCCGCUUAGCGAUAUACAAGGGUAUGUAGAUGCACUCUUCUUCCCCUCGUUGCUAGAUUACUCCAUAGAUUGAUCUUGGUGAUGCGUAGAAUUUUUUUGAUUUCUGCUAUGUUCCCCAACAGUGGCAUCAUGAGCUAGGUCUAUGCGUAGUUUCUAUGCACGAGUAGAACACAAGUUGUUGUGGGUGUUGAUUUUUGUUCAAUAUGCUUACCGUUACUAGUCCAAUCUUGUUUCGACGGUAUUGUGGGAUGAAGCGACCCGGACCGACCUUACACGUACACUUACGUGAGACAGGUUCCACUGACUGACAUGCACUUGUUGCAUAAGGUGGCUAGCGGGUGCCAGUCUCUCCCCCUUUAGUCGGAUCGGAUUCAAUGAAAACGGUCCUUAUGAAGGGUAAAUAGCAAUUGACAUAUCACGUUGUGAUUUUUGCGUAGGUAAGAAACGUUCUUGCUAGAAACCCAUAGCAGACAGGUAAAACAUGCAAACAACAAUUAGAGGACGUCUAACUUGUUUUUGCAGGGUAUGCUAUGUGACGCCUCCACACUCAUCAAAGAUCCUCUUCCCCGGUGGUGCCGGUGCGUGCCUGAGCUCUGUUUCCUAGCAUGGGCAGUGUCCGGUAAAUAGAUCUGGAGCUCAGAGUCCACCGCUGACUGCUCGACGUUUCUUCCACCUGUCUCAAGCCCUCCCGUUUCCACCCACGCCGUCGAUCACCCGCUGGUCACCACCGACGACAUGGAUCCCCUCCGCCUAAUCCUCUCCCGCGCCCAGGCCCAACCCUUGCUUCCGCUCCCCGCUGGCGUCCCAGCGCCGAGCGUCAGGCCCCGCCUCGUCCCGCGGCGACGGGCGCGCCGCCACCGCAACGGGGCCGCGCGGAUGCUGCCGGCGUCGGCCGUGGCGUCCGAGUCGCCGUGGACGGAGCAGGAGCCGGCGUCCGGGGAGAAGGAGGAGCGGUUCGACUGGCUGGACCAGUGGUACCCCUUCGCCCCCGUGGAGGACCUGGACCCUGGCGCACCACACGGCAAGAUGGUGCUGGGGAUCCACGUGGUGGCCUGGUACGACCGCGGCGCGGGCGAGUGGCGCGUGUUCGACGACGUGUGCCCGCACCGCCUGGCGCCGCUCUCGGAGGGCCGCAUCGACGACAAGGGCCGGCUCCAGUGCGUGUACCACGGGUGGUGCUUCAACAGCCGCGGCGCCAGCAAGGCGUGCGUUGCGUCCUACCCGUGCGUGUGCAGAACAAGAUCCUGUGGUUCUACCCGCGCGUCGGGCCGGAGCACAGGGACGUGCUUCAGAGGAAGCCGCCGCCGUUCAUCCCGGAGAUCGACGACCCCGCCUUCGUCACCUCCUUCCUAGUAAGGGACAUGCCCUACGGGUAAGUCUACCGCGCGCAGCUCCAUCGUGUUCCUUUUCUUUUCUGAAUCCUCCAUUGAUCUACGGAAGUUGCACCACAUUUUGCAGGUACGACGUCUUGGCAGAGAAUCUUAUGGACCCUUCGGAUGCGGUUUUUCUCAUUCGCGUUCCAUUCGCAGCGGGAAUCCAUGCCGUUCUUCCCUGCACUUGGAUCAGCGCUGCAUGCAGGCCCAGGACAUCGUGGGUCCACUCAGAGUGAGGCCACAUGCUAGAUUCCUUUUCUCACUAGGGCCUGCACGCAUGUCAUAUACCCAUUUCCCUCACAUGCAUGUGUUUAGAUGGCAGGCCAGCUCAUUAAUUUUAUUUGAUGUGCGUAACUCACGUUGCUAAUUACAACUAGGUGAACAAAUUAAUAGUAUACUUGCUAAUUUUAUCGUAUCCAUAACAACUUUAUCUGGUAUGCAUAACUUGCCACUAAUCACAAGUAUAAAUAUCAACAGAACUCUAUGAAGGAUGUGUUUGAACUUUGGAAUAAAAUCAGAAGAACUUUUGAAAAUAACAAUAAAAAAUAAAAGUUCUUUGAGUUUUGAAGAUAAAGUUCAAAAGAAGAGUCCAUAAAGUUCUCUAACUAUUUUAUGAGCUAUGCCAGAGUUUUUCAAAAGUUCUUCUGUUUUUUAUGGCAAGGUUCAUACACCAAGCUAACAAAGUUUGAUUCUCUUUGAAACUAUUUAAAAAAACGUUCUUUCAGACAAUCUAAACAACUGCAUAUUUUAAUUUUAUGGGUUUGAAUUACUUCUAGCAACGGCGGCUGGAGAGAUAAUCACCGUGAUUAGUACUUCUGCUGGAGAGAUAAAACGUUCACAUGCAAAGAAUCUAGCAACAGUGCACCUACUACCUGACAUGAAUACCCUGGCUCCUAGCGGGGCCUUUGCCAGUUUUCUCACGUGCAUGUGCGAUCAUGGACAAGGCAUGAGUGGUGGAGAUACGCGCUGCGUAUCAAACGCGAAGGUAAAAGCCUUUUUCGCCCUUCUCACGUGCCCUACGCGCACAAAGGCUUGCUCCUGGCCUCCCCCGGCUUGUAGACCCUGGCAGAUAUGUCCCUGCCCUCAUACUCAAAUGAUCCACCAUGCUUCCUGAAUUUCACUAACCGGGACGAACCUUCAUUUCUUCUUCUUCACAGUGGAGUACGACAAAGAAGGCGGUGUGCCGAUGGCGGUGAAGGUGGAGGAUUCGAGCGUGAACGGGUUCGCGUCGUCGCAGGGCCCCGGCUACUCCAACUUCGUCGCGCCUUGCACGUACUACGGAUCGCCGGCCUCCAAGAAAUCAGAGGUACGUACGUGGGAUGGGAGUAAGAAUUGGCCAGUCCAUCCUUCGUUACUCCCCUGUCAAAAACGGAUCAGCAGUUGAGCACAUGUUUCCUCCUCCAUUCCUGGUCCGUGCGCAGAAGAACAAGCCUCACAUCAUGCUGGUGUUCAUCAUCGUCCCGGUCGCUCCGGGGAGGAGCAGGGUGAUGUGGGCCUUCCCGAGGAACUUCGGCCUCUGGCUGCACAAGAUCACGCCGCGGUGGUUCGACCACAUCGGCGUCAACGCCAUCUUGGAUUCCGACAUGUAUCUCCUCCACAUCGAGGUACGCAGCCAUUCCCCACUCAGCUCAUGAUCAGUGACUCUGCCGGAUCCGAUUCAGGCCAUUGAUGAGUGAACCAAAUCUUCUUCUCUUCUUGGGUCGUUUCAGGAGCGCAAUUUCGCUAAGGCGGGCAUCGAGAACUGGCAGAAGAGCGUGUACGUGCCCACAUCGUCGGACGGCACCGUGGUCGCCUUCAGGAACUGGUUCAGGAGGUACUGCAAGUUCCAGGUCGGCUGGGCGGCCCCGACGGUCGACCAGCUGCCGGCGACCCCCACCAAGGACAAGCUCAUGGACAGGUACUGGUCGCACGUCGCGCAGUGCACGAGCUGCAGCGCCGCCCUCAAGGCCAUGAAGGCGCUCGAGGUGGCCCUGCAGGUGGCGUCCAUCGCCGUCGUCGGGCUCCUCGCCGUGGCCAAGGGGACGCUGCUCACGUCCGUCGCCCAGCGGGCCGUCGUCGUGUCGGCGGCCGUCCUCUGCUUCGCGGCGUCCCGGUGGCUCGCUGACUUCAUCCAGAAGAACUUCUAUUUUGAGGACUAUGUCCAUGCUUACAAGUGACGACCUGGCAAAAUCAUCCAGUACGGGAAAAUAUCUGUAGAGAUAUACGUAGAAAAUAAUCUAGAGCCGUUAAUUUUGUAAAUCAAAUUUUAGUGCAGCGUAAACCAGUUGUUUCUAGUCCAAAGAUCAAUUUUGAGCAGAGAUCAGCACGCCUGCAUCAGGUACCAACACGUUCUGAAACAGUGUUGCCGCUCCCGGAACAAGCCAAGGAUUGCACUACGGAUGUGAAACCUAUUGGGUCACGUUCUCGCGGCACCACGCAAUUGUUUGGCCACUUUGUCCUUUUGUAUGGAUUUCAUCAUGAUAACGAAACAUCUCCAUUGUGAAGUUCCGAUCCAGGUGGUGAUUGAGCACUAGUCGAUUCGCAUUGUCCCUGUGAAAAUAAUUCGAGGCGCGCUUGAUCCAUAUUGAGAACAACAAUCACGAAUAUGACGUCAAGAUUGGCAUGAUUAGGGACGCUCCUUCUUAAAUUAAUAUAGCACAAUCAACGAAAAGCCUAUCGAAAUUCUCUAUAAAAAACCUCACUUGCUGAUGAUGAUGAGGAGCCCGCCAUCUAUUAAUUUCGAUCGUUCGAUCUGCAUCUAAUGCAUCCGAGGCGAGCUCUCGCACUUGUGCAAAAAGAUGUCGUCACUCUCUCUAUAUUCUUUUGAGAAAGCCCCUUCAUCUCCCCCUUCCAUAUCCAUCCCCUCGCGACCUUUCUUCAGCAAGCCAUGGAAGUCCGAUCUGGUGCAAUGGCGGCUGAGAGCAGUUAGCCCCCAAUGCCUCCUCUCUACCACUGCAGCCCACCACCCAUGACCGCCACGGCCUCCCCUCCUCUGCCCCCUUUCCCAUCUCCUCCAGCGCAAAUCUCUGCAAAGUACAUUGUCAAUGUUGUCCAUUCCCCGACGCCUCUCAUGCCUCCUCAUGAGCCCCAACAGUCCACCACUCACCAUCACGCCCUCCUCCUCGCCGUCUCCUCCGACCCAUCCCCAUCUCCUUGGACACCGACAGCUACAAGUACGUGCUACUCAUCCUCGGUGGCACCACCGCCACAUAGUGCUCAGUCUUCUCCGCCGACAUGCUCCACGGCCGCCCCCUUCAGGUAUGCGCUGCUCCCCGAGGACCUCUACAUCGUAUGCACAAAGGUAGGAUUCAGAUCACCGUUGCUCAUUAAUCAGUUCGCUAGGUUGUAUUUCACGCCCGUCGUUCCUCACAACUACUUAGCCCGCGCGCUCGGUUGGUUGGUCCAUGCCUGCCACAAGCGCUUAGACUGCCCUUUGUGAUUUCUACCUAGCCUACCAGCUUAUGUCUGACUAUGCAGUGUCUUUAUAUACUCACUCCGGUCCUUUUUACUCCGAGAAGCACAUAUGUGCUCCGAAAAACAUAGUUCUUUCCUCUAGAAUAUAGGGAAAACCAGGCAAAAACCAAAAACCCAAACAACAACAAAAAAAACAUCUAUAAAACAAAAAGUCAUACAGAAAAAACAAAAAUUCGGCUGGACGCACCACUUGGCGUGCUCGAAUGCAAGAAAGUAACCCUCCCGGAAGCCCUGGAAGGGGUAACGCUUGGAUAGUUGCUCCCCUCUUUGACUACAACCUUGUCCGCGCUUUCUGGGUAGGACUGGCAGCUCCUUGAUCAGCUCACCUUAGGCCAUUCCUUGGGCCUUGCCCAGUCCUUGGACUGCACGGCCCUUGACCUUGUUGCCUGCACGCAUUGUCCCGCUCCUUGGGCCGCGACUGUUAUGCAACAGUCCCUAUCCCCUAUACCACAUGUGAAUUGAUCUUGUUGACGGGUCACGGGUGCCCCCGUUUUUUUUUGGCGUGGGAAUGCUCUAGCGCUCCACGUGGUGCUCCCGAGUGUCGGCACAUGUAGUGAGCUGGACGCAACCACAACCCUUGCACAUGACCAUGCUUUUUUCUUUAUUCUUUUAGAAAAUCUUUGCUUUUUUGCUCGGUUUUUUUGGGUUUUCUCAAUUUUAUGAUUUUUUAUUUUUCUUGAUUAUUGUUCUAGAAGCGAUCACACAGAGUGUAUCUACCGGUUAAUUACGUUUCACGUGUGAUGACGUUGGCUGACCGAGACGUAACUAAGUCUCAGUUACGUCUCACACAGAGUGUAUCUACCGAUUAUGUACGUGAAACGUGUGAUGACGUCAGCUGACCCAGAAUUAAACGGAAUCUCAUUUUUAGCGUGCAUCCAAAGCCAAUCAAUGGGGCCCCACGGGCAAUCAGUUGACUAUUAUCGUUUCCAGUACGGCAGCCUUGAACAAUUCGGGGUCUAUUUAAACGGAGUUUCAGUGCUCUGUAGGAGGAGGAAGCUGUGAAGUGGGUGUCGCUCCUUGUUCAUCAACCUCGAGUUGUUCUAAAUUACUUAGUCGUAGUGAUGGAAGACACCACCUUUCCCGCCGGGAUCACCGACAUGGAGGUUGGCAGAGUCGUCUUCGGCGCGUCCGCGACGCCCCCACACUCAUCAAAGAUCCUCUUCCUCGGUGGUGCCGGUGCGUGCCUG